rnacentral:pre_miRNA from 9 species
UCUCGAUAGUGUAAAAGUAAACUCAAAUUUGUAUCGAGUUGAAACGUUUGCCUACGUUUUCCGCUUGGGCACUGUUCCAACUGCGUACAAAUUUGAAUAAGCUUUUAAGCUAUCGA